rnacentral:rRNA from 1 species
GGGUAGGCAAAAACUAAUAGCUCUUUUAUGAUUAUGUGAUAGGUGGUGCAUGGCCGUUCUUAGUUCGUGGAGUGAUCUGUCUGCUUAAUUGCGUUUCAAAACAACUGAUACACAGAGUCUUGGCACAGUUCAGUUUAAUGGCGUCGAGUAUCUUUGAUUUCGACAGUAGUCCAACUCGGUUCGCCAGGGUCUCUUUUGAACGCAACGGACGUGAUCGCAACCCUUUGUUGAGUGAUGUCAGCACUCUACGUCUAUCCUAGCUCGUUGAUCGCAAGUGAGAGUUGGGUGGGCAAACUCAGGGGACAGCUUCAACUAUUCUUCUUCAAACUAGAGGAAGGUUGCGGCAAUAACAGGUCUGUGAUGC